rnacentral:misc_RNA from 1 species
GCUCUGUAAGCCUUCCCGGUCUCACCUUCAAUUGCAACUUCAUGCCAGCGGAUCUCUUCAGGCUUAAAAGUUAACCUCCAUUUUAAGGUUUCUUCCAACAUCUUCUUUGAUUUCUCAACAUUCCAGUUCCGCGCUUCCAAAUAUCUCCUUAAACAUGCAUCACUGCAGUACUGUAAAUCACGUCCUGAUAGUGGCGCGCCCAAGGAAGUCCUAAGUUCCUUAACCUUAUGUGGUUGAUCCUCACCCUCCUGUUCACUAUGGGGAUGGCUCUUGCGACG